AUUGAACGCUGGCGGCAGGCCUAACACAUGCAAGUCGAAAGGAGUGGCGGACGGGUGAGUAAUGUCUGGGAAACUGCCUGAAGGAGGGGGAUAACUACUGGAAACGGUAGCUAAUAACGCAUACUAUCAGCUGAGCCUAGGUCGGAUUAGCGAGUUGGUGGGGUAAAGGCCUACCAAGGCGACGAGCCGUAACUGGUCUGAGAGGAUGAUCAGUCACACUGUAACUGAGACACGGUCCAGUCUCCUACGGGAGGCAUCAGUGGGGAAUAUUGGACAAUGGGCGAAAGCCUGAUCCAGCCAUGCUGCGUGUGUGAAGAAGGUCUUCGGAUUGUGAAGCACUUUAAGUUGGGAGGCGUUACCAACAGAAUAAGCACCGGCUAACUUCGUGCCAGCCGCCGCGGUAAUAC
rnacentral:rRNA from 1 species